rnacentral:lncRNA from 12 species
GGCCUACUGACAUUAAGCUUCUGCAAAUGCAACUCAGAUCAUAACGGUAUUUCACUAAGUUGUCAUCUCAAAACAUUGACAAGGACAGUGUUGUCUUCACAAAGUUCCUUCCAGAACAUGGGUACCAUUUCUUUUGUAUUAUUUCCAAGUAGGUACUUUGAAGAAACAAGGACUACUAUUGAUAUCUGAUUUUAUGAGAGUCUCCACACCUGACCAAGCUUCCUCGAGCAGAUGAUAAUCUUCAUCCUUUCAUCAGAGGACAUCAGUGGGCGGCUCUCCUUCCUUGGGCUUGCCAGACUGGCACUAGCAGCUGCAGAUUAGGCCAGACCAAUCCUGGAAGGGUUGCAGGGGCUCCAUCGCUGCCUUCCUGAGCUCGGAGUUGGCCUUGGGGCUCUGGGGCCUCAGGGGAACCUUUUGCAUCUCCAGGAUGCCUGUCCAUUUAACAGGGCUUUGGAUCAAGUUUCUACUUGGUUUUCUACCGGGAUUAGAUCCUGAUCCUGAAUCCUGGUUCCAGUGGCUGUGAAACCCUGCUUGGUCCUUGUCAGCCUCUCUGCAGAUGACCAGGAUGCUGAUGGGGAUGUGAACCCAACACACCUUGAACUACCACAUCCCUGUCCACAGGGAUAACUAUCCACAGUCAGGAGCUUCCAGGAGCCUUGUUUCUGCUUCUCUCUCUUACUGAUGCCCUUGAGGGACCCCAGGCUUGUGACCUCCUGUAAUAUUCUCCCCACCUUACCUCCUCCCCCCACCCCCGCUUCUGCUUCUCCUCUUUCUGUCCCUAGGAAAGCCCCUCAAAAGGGUGAGGGCUCUUCCCAGCACCCUUAAUUCCAGGCUCUUCUCCUUUGCUGCUGGCCUGAGGACAGGGUUCCUUCAAGCUCUGUGACUGGUCUCCAGUGGUCCUCUUCUGAUGACUUUUCUCUGCCUGAAGGCAGCGAGAGAUGUCUGAGUCUGUGUCUGAAGAGGCCAGAGGAGAGGAUGGCCGAGAUGACUUAUGGAGAUCUUGGCAACCCACAUGGCCUUCAGUGGAAAUCCAGGAUCAGGAGAUUUGGGUGUCAGCACAGUGUGGCAUGCCAAAGCAAGGUGGUUUGCGCACGUGAUUCCAUCAGGUAAGAUGUGGAGGAGCUUUUUCAGGCUAAUGAAAACUGAUAAUGCCAAGCAUAAUAGGGGAGGUUUAAAUGGUUAGAGAAGCUGAAUUAUGAGGUUGGAAUGGCAUUUUUUAAAAAAUAUUUUAUUUAUUUAUUCAUGAGAGACACCGAGAGAGAGAGAGAGAGAGAGAGAGAGAGAGAGGCAGAGACACAGGCAGAGGGAGAAGCAAGCUCCUCACAGGGAGCCUGAUGUGGGACUUGAUUCUGGAUCCCAGGACCACGACCUGAGCUGAAGGCAGGCACCCAACCCCUGAGCCACCCAGGCAUCCCGGAAAGGCAUUUUUCAUGUGGCUGGUUCCUACUUACUCAGAUUCAUAGAGUCUGUGGCUCUCACCUGCUGA